rnacentral:lncRNA from 1 species
UGAUGGUACAAAUCCAUGGCAGGGCUCAGCUUUAAACAAGUCUUUUCUGAGAUUCCUUCUAUGGAAUAAAGUUCCAUCAAAGUCAAUUUAAAAGCCUGUGUAAAAAAAUAAUUAUUCUUGCUGCACUGUAUACAAAUAAUCAGGCCAAGUAUAAUAAAGGAAAUCAGUCGUACCAUGAUUUGUCUUUAGUAAAAAUGAGAAACUGGAGAGAGAAAAACUAUGUUUUAAAAACUAUAGUACACCUGUUGUUAGAUUCUAGUCUUGCCCAAUGUUUUUCAAUUUUUAUUAUUUUCUACAGUUUGGACCAAAUUCUAGUUUUUCUUGGCUACAAGUCUUCAAUAUAACGUUUUCAAUUUUUUCCCUUUCUUUUUUCUAUUUUUCCUAAUUUGGAGUCACUGAAAGCUAAGCUGUGCUUUGUGAAGCCCUGUGAACUGAAGCUAGACAACUUAAACUUCAGAAGAAAAUAACAGCAACCUGUUUACAUAUAUAAGCUACUUUCAUACCUGCCUACUGAUGUAUGGACUUCAGAGUAGUGUGGCCUAUAUCGAUUUUCUAGGAUCAUUAUUUUGUUUGUUGUUUUUCUCCCUUCCUCCACCUAUUUUCUCUUCAUAGGACAUGAGGAUUCUCAACCUGAUAAAAAUGAGCUUUCCUAAUAACUCAAGACCCAUCUGCCUAGGAAUAAACCAUCCCAGCUGUGAGAGACCAGACGAAACCUGAGACCAGAGACUCGUUUUCUUCUAAAAUGCUUUCUCCAAAAGAUUUUUAAACAGAAAAAGGGGGAAAUGUGAAAGGAAAAGAAAACUUGAGGCCCCCAAAAUCACUAAGCUAAAAGGAAAAGUCAAGCUGGGAAUGGCUUAGGGCAAACCUGCCUCCCAUUCUAUGCAAAGUCAUCCCUCCGUGCACUGAGAUAAAUGCUUAUCUAAUUGCCUCCUUUGGAGAGGCUCAUCAGAAACUCAAAAUAAUGCAACCAUUUGACUCUCACCUACCUGUGACCUGGAAGAUCCCUCUCUGCUUGAGUUGUCCUGCUUUUCUGGAUGGAACCAAUGUUCAUCUUACAUAUAUUGAUUGAUGUCUCAUGUCUCCCUAAAAUGUAUAAAACCAAGCUGUGCCCUGACCACCUUGGGCACAUGUCGUCAGGACCUCCUGAGGCUGUGCCACAGGCAUGCAGCCUCAACCUUGGCAAAAUAAACUUUCUAAAUUGACUGAGACCAGUCUCAGAUAUUCAGGGUUCACAGUAUCCAAAAAUCCAAUCACAUCUGAAACCGCCUUUGCAAAAAUUAUCACAGUGAGAAAAUAAUGGCAGUGAAAGAAAGCUGAUCUAGCCAACCUCCCUCUUGCCUUUAGCUUUCAAGCUGCUUUUACUUAUUCCUGGGUUUAAGCCAAGCUACAUGUGGGAGUCAUUUAGUUGAUAGUUUAAAUUAUAAUAACCCUUCCCCGAAACUCAACCACCCUUGUAAUACUGAGAGACCACCAGGCUAGGAGGAGGAGAGGAGCCUAAAUUCUGCUAAGGUGUAGACAAAAACAAUUGUGAGGCGUUAUUCCAGAAGCCACAAGAUAUGCAACUUCCUCAGUUACCCCUGCAGAUAAUGUUACUUUUGUAGAACCUAGGAUUGGCCUUCUGAGAUAUCUUCUCAGGAUUUUGCAUGUCUGAUGACCGAUGGCUCCACCGGGACCAGCCAACGGCUUCUGUGUCCCCACCCAGAAGCGACUCAGAGAAAGAGGACAGCUUCGACACCCUAUGAUUUCAUCUCUGACCCAACCAAUCAGCACUCCCCAUACCCUAGCCUGCUACCUACCAAAUUACCUUUGAAAAAUCCCUAACCUCCAAGCCUUAGAUGAGUUUGAUUUGAGUAAUAACUCUGCCUCCCACAUGGUGUGGCUGGCAUCAUGUCAAUUAACCUCUUUCUUUACUGCAGUGCCAUGGUCUCCAUGAACUGAUUUUUUUGUGCAGUGGGCAGGAAGAACCCAUCGGGCAGCUACACAUCUUGAAAGAGAAGCUCUUCCUGUGAGGGAACGCAGAACGCUCUGGCACCUUCAACAGACUUGCCCCUUGGGGAGCUCUGGAGACAGC